GUGAUGCUGUAAAUUGAAAAAAAAAUUGUGAAAAUUCGAAGAGAAUCUGUAUACUAUGAGUUUGAGGUUAUAUUGAUACACCUCAAUGAUACUGGGCGCUCGCAGGAGUUGUUGGAGAUCUAGUAAGCAUCAAAAAUCAAUGAAGAAAUUGAAUGUAAUUCAGGAUGCACAGGAGAAGAAAUGAAGAGGAUGACAAGGCAGUGAUUCUUUGUAUUUUGAUCUUGGAAGCAGAAUCUGAUCACAGAAUCCGAUGACGACUGAGAACUAAUUUGAGUCCUUCCAGAAUCCUACGUGCUGUCAAUUCAACCACGAAUACAUAUUUCUUCAAGUGUUAGCACGUGUCCACCAAGAGAGGAAUUACCACAAAGCACAGCGAACAUGGGGUGAAUCAACUAUGCCAUUCAAAUUUGAUACAAACUGACUUUGUCACUCAUUAGAAGAACUAGAUCUCUGAACACCUCUGAAGAUGAUUUAAAUAACAACACGCUGGGAUGAUGGAGUUAGUCUUUGGCGUGUCCGGUUCUGCUGAUUCUGUUGAUGUAUUUAUUCUUCAAGGGAGUAAUUGUCGUAGGUGGGAAAUUGGCAGCUCCAGAGAAUCUCUUUCCUGCAUUGAGGAAUCAAGACUCAACGGUGCAUCUGCAUGAUUGUUCAUUAGUGCACCGAAUAAAAAUCCAUAUAUUAUUCAUAAUGUAGAUAUAGAUCAUGUACAUACUUUUUAAAUUAAUUUAAAUUGUCAUUAGAUAAGAAACCUCUAUGAAUUUUCAUUGUAACACAUUUGCUGUGAAAGAAUAAUUUUCUAUCCGAAUAAAUCCAUAU
rnacentral:lncRNA from 1 species